AAAACCUCUAAACUUCAGGUAAUUAGUACCCGUACCGUAAACCGACACAGGUAGUCGAGGAGAGAAUCCUAAGGUGCUCGAGAGAUUCAUGGCUAAGGAAUUAGGCAAAAUAGACCCGUAACUUCGGGAGAAGGGUCGCCCUGUAGUAAUACAGGGCCGCAGUGAAGAGGUCCAGGCGACUGUUUAUCAAAAACACAGGGCUCUGCAAAAUCGUAAGAUGAAGUAUAGGGCCUGACACCUGCCCGGUGCUGGAAGGUUAAGUGGAGAUGUUAGUUGUAAGACGAAGCAUUGAAAUGAAGCCCCAGUAAACGGCGGCCGUAACUAUAACGGUCCUAAGGUAGCGGAAAUUCCUUGUCGGGUAAGUUCCGACCUGCACGAAUGGUGUAACGAUCUGGACACUGUCUCAGCCAAUGAGCCACUCGG
rnacentral:rRNA from 1 species